rnacentral:rRNA from 1 species
GACGGAGGGUGCAAGCGUUGUUCGGAUUGACUGGGCGUAAAGGGCGUGUAGGCGGUUGGUCAAGUCUGAUGUGAAAGCCCGGAGCUCAGCCCCGGAAGGGCAUCGGGAAACUAACCAGCUGGAGCGCGAUAGAGGAGGGCGGAAUUCCUGGUGUAGCGGUGAAAUGCGUAGAUAUCAGGAGGAACACCGGCGGCGAAGGCGGCCCUCUGGAUCGUUGCUGACGCUGAGACGCGAAAGCGUGGGGGAGCAAACAGG